rnacentral:rRNA from 1 species
CAGUCGCCGCGGGAAUACGAAGGGUGCAAGCGUUACUAGGAAUUACUGGGCGUAAAGCGUGCGUAGGUGGUGGUUUAAGUCCGUUGUGAAAGCCCUGGGCUCAACCUGGGAAUUGCAGUGGAUACUGGGUCACUAGAGUGUGGUAGAGGAUAGUGGAAUUUCCGGUGUAGCAGUGAAAUGCGUAGAGAUCGGAAGGAACAUCUGUGGCGAAGGCGACUAUCUGGGCCAACACUGACACUGAGGCACGAAAGCGUGGGGAGCAAACAGGAUUAGAUACCCCAGUAGUCCCUGUCUCUUAUAC